AAAUAUGCAAAACAAAUUGAGGUAGAAGAAAGACAUGCAUUCAAAUGCGUCCAAUUCACCAGUAAGCAUUUCGUUGUUACAUGCACACUAAACUAACCUCAAACAAUACAGGUACAAUAACGCAAAUCUAGUCAUUACUUGAGAGCACCAGCACUCUUAGCGGCGCCUAGAAUAAGUUCGGUGAUCUCAUCCAUCCCAACUUGAUUUUUGACUUGUGCAAAAACAAUGGGUCCAUUCUCACGAAUCUUUUUUGCAUCACGAUCCAUGACCGACAAAUCAGCACCGACCAACUUAGCUAGAUCUGUUUUGUUGAUAAUCAACAGAUCUGACUCCGUGAUACCAGGUCCACCCUUACGUGGAAUCUUGUCGCCUCCAGAUACAUCAAUUACAUAGAUAAUGAAAUCAGCGAGAUCACGAGAGUAAUUUGCAGCUAAGUUAUCACCUCCUGACUCCACGAGUAGUAAUUCUGUGUUGAACUCGGAUUGCAACUCCUCCAAUGCGACCAAAUUACCGGAGACGUCUUCACGAAUAGCAGCGUGUGGACAACCGCCUGUUUCGAUUGCGCGAAUUCUCUCUUCGGGAAGUGCCUUGUUACGAAUUAAAAAUUCUUGAUCUUCACGAGUAAAUAUGUCGUUGGUAACAACUCCGAUGCUAUAUUUUUCACCCAAGAGCCUGCAAAGCUGAAGCAAAAGUGCAGUUUUACCAGAACCGACCGGUCCUCCGACGCCAAUGGUAAAGGCACGACGAGAGAAGUCUCUAUGAUUGAACUGAGGAAGUUCACGCUUCAAGUAGCUGCCAGGCGUUUCCAUAGCAUCGUGAGAAUGGCCAUGCUCUUGGAUGAACUGCAAUCUGGCAGCUUCGCUGGAAGAGUUGGAAGAUGAAUCAUGGCUGUGAUGAUCGUGACCAUGAUGAUCAUGGUUAUGAUGGUCGUAAUCGUGUGUAUGGUGAUGAGUCGAGUCAUCAGAACCUCCCUUGUGAAGAAAAGGAAUCGCCAUGUUUUGAAUUA